ACGUAGGGGGCAAGCGUUGAUCGGAAUCACUGGGCUUACAGCGCGUGUAGGCGGGGCAGCAGGUCUUCUGUGAAAGCCCCCGGCUCAACCGGGGAAUUGCAGGGUAAACCGCCGCUCUUGAGGCAGGUAGAGGUGACCGGAACGUGUGGUGGAGCGGUGAAAUGCGUAGAUAUCACACGGAACGCCGGUGGUGAAAACGGGUCACUGGGCCUGAACUGACGCUCAGACGCGAAAGCAUGGGGAGCGAACGG
rnacentral:rRNA from 1 species